rnacentral:sRNA from 1 species
AUCAAUGACUAUAACAUCAAGUUUAACAUCCUUUGCAUAUUUCAACGCAUCAUGUGCCAUAGCACCACAAUCAACUGUAAUUAAUAAUUCAGUGCCGUUACCUUUAAUUUUUUGCAUAGCCAAAGGAGUUGGACCAUAUCCUUCAUAUAUACGAUCAGGCACAU